rnacentral:rRNA from 1 species
UACGAAGGGGGCUAGCGUUGCUCGGAAUCACUGGGCGUAAAGCGCACGUAGGCGGAAUGUUAAGUCAGGGGUGAAAUCCCGGGGCUCAACCCCGGAACUGCCUUUGAUACUGGCAUUCUCGAGUCCGGAAGAGGUGAGUGGAAUUCCGAGUGUAGAGGUGAAAUUCGUAGAUAUUCGGAGGAACACCAGUGGCGAAGGCGGCUCACUGGUCCGGUACUGACGCUGAGGUGCGAAAGCGUGGGGAGCAAACAGG